CCCUAUUGCAUUGUGUGUGACUGAUUUUCAGAGCACCUUCGCUGUUUCCCCAUUCUCAUUCCCUUUCUGUAAAAUAUCUAGACAGGAAGGAGGUGGCUACAGAAGCUGAACAAACAAUCUCAUAUUCUGCCUGCAAUGUCAUCGUUUCUUUCCCCCAUUUUAGGGGGCUGAAGUUGCCCAGGAAGGGGAUGCAGAGGAGCUGGAAAGGAAGAGGGGAGCUCUCCAGAGGCAGCUGCGGUCAGGGGCAGGGACUGCCGCCAGAUGUGCCUGCCUCUCUGGGCUUUGAUGCGAAGGGGGCAGCAGGAGGAAAUAUUGGGAGACAAAAGCCCUGGUUUAAAUGAUCAUUUUCUUUAUUUAACAUGGCAGCAGACACUCUCUGCGUAGGAUCAUCAUGCCGAGCAUAAACUGGACUUUCCCACUUGCCUGGCAGGAGUGAGACAGAUCACUGUGUGCUAAAUGAACAUCUGAGAUGUCCUUGGUGUAUGCAUCCCUGUGGAAUCCAUUCACCUCCACUGUGUCAGAGAGCAUCAGAGAUGGUUUUGACUCCCUAUGUCCUGAGCCUGUACAGAAAGUCUACCUUGUGUGGAGGGAAAUGAGAUCCUGAGUGAAGUCUACAAUGUCAUUGACUCUGAAGAAGGACUCAGAGGCCCAUUGGUGUUUAAUGACCCUUGCUGGCCUAUGCAAUGGAAACUGAUGCAGUAAUCUGCUUUCUAAAUAGAGAUGUGAGGAUCUUCUGUCAGAGGGAUUUGGUGUGAUUGUAUUGAUGGUAAGUUGAUGGUUACAAGAAAAAGAUGCCUCAUUUUCACUGCACCAUUUAUAGUAAUAGCAAGAUUCUCUAAUGAAACUUAUAGAUAACCCUUACACAAAGAUGAACAACAUAGUUAAAAAUUAUAAGUUGGUUUAGAAUACAAAGAUAUAUAAUGAAUACCCAAGAAGCAUCAGUUCCUGGUAUAGAAAUAAUGGCAUUAAGCAAAGUUAGUCUUUCAUAUUUCUGUUGAAAAUUAGAUACUGCGAUUAAAAUUAUCUGAGAUUAAAAACAAAUUUAAGUAUACUUUUCUAAGCUGCUGAUCUGAGUUGGUUUUUCUAGAAAUUGCACACAACUGGUUUCACCAUCUCACAAAAGUUUUACAUUAAAAGCAUUCGAAAGUAAAUAAACAGUGAUUAUUAUUGACCUUUUUAUAAUGGUCAGAAACUGGAGGUAAUCAGCCACAUUUAAAUUUUUAUAGGAACUGAAGUAACUAAGGAGAAUCAUCUUAAUUAGGAUAUUUUCAUUGUGUAGUUACAUAUGUUGAUUUUUAAAGCAUUUAUUUUGUCAAAGGAAAGGGAGAAAAUGGAGAGAUAUGUGCAAGCAGACAGAAGCAAUAGAGCAAUGUGUUUCCAUAACUAAUAAUCUUUCAAAUAUAUUUUCUCCCAAUGGGAGUCCAGAUACAGAUACGUGAAAAGGUGCUACCAAACUGGGCUGGUUUAGAGUGAAUAGUGAGGAUCCCUGCAAGUAGAACUAGAUCAUUAUUGUUGAUGAUAAGUUACCACUAUUUUGACUGAGAAUAUCAUUAUGUAAUAUAUUACUUCAAUGGUGGAGCUUUUCAUUUAACUUAAUAGCAGUUUUAAUCUUCAGGGUUGUUAUGCUGGUUUUUGGUCAUUGCUAAAACUCUUACUGUUUUUCUGGGAACCACAUGCUCCGUGCUUUUUCGCCCUCCCUUUUCUGUCUCCCCUUUCCUUGAAGUGUUUCUUUUGUUUGUCUCCAUUACACCAGCUCGCAGGGACACAGUGUUUCUGCACAGUGGGAGUUGGCAAUCUCCAAAGAGGCUUUCCAGCAUUGCUUUUUAGACUGAAAUCAUUACAAUCUUCAAUAGCUACUUGGAUUUUAAAAAAAGAAGAAGAAGAAACUAGCACAUUAUUAUUCUCAAAACCAUCUCAAUGUAUAAAGAGGCUAUUUGCUUGGUCCUCCCACACCUUCCCCUUCCCUCCCUGCUCCAGCAAUCCCUGCUCAUCCUGCUCCUUGUCUCCCUGGAUGUGUUUCCUUCAUACCCAAUUUCGUCUGCAUGGCCCUGAUUUACUAAUUCUAUUCAAAUUGAGUAUACAAAUGCAUUUUUUCUGUUGGUUCUGAAUAUUUUUGCACUGCUUAUGCAAAGGAUUGUAGUCAGAUAUAUCUUAUAUUCACUGAUAUUUAAAUUACUACCUUCCAGAAUGUGAAAUAUACCAGCAAUGACCCAAGAUAAUGUUUUCAAACCCAGAGUUAUUAACAUGAGUUAAUGGGAAAGUUGCUUUAAUAAUAACCCUGAAACCAAUUUUUAAGUAGGUGGGAAUUCUUGUUUUUGAUUAGUAUGUAUCAAACACUCCUACCCUCUGUUUUCUCCAGGUCCUCAGUGUCUGCUUUUCACCAGUGGUAACAUUUGUUUAUGCACAUGUCCACGAGUGACCCUAAUGCACAGCGGAAACUCAAGGCACAAGAAGCUGUUUGCAAUGCCUUCCUCCGUGAGAGACAUUAGUGCAUUCAAACAGACAAUAUUUCCAACAGAGGUUUGUAGAAUGUUGUCAUAGGAUUUAUUUGUUCUCUUUGGUGGACGUAACUAUAAAUAAUGAAAGGGAAUGGCAUGAAUAAAGGGGAGAGUAAUUUAUGCACUUUAUCAAAGCAGCACAACCAAUUUAUAUCCUGCACCCUAUCCAGAUGGAUAUAUAUUCAAAUAAAAUCAAAAUAACAUAAUGUUUUUCAUUGUUAGGUAAAUGGGAAAAAUGCACUAAAAAAGAA